UUCAAUCCAGACAGAAUCUGAGUGUGGAAAAUUCCAGGAACGUCUGGACUUCAGGAGUGAAGUCCAAUUUGCUCACCAAAGCAAAAAAAAAAACAAAACCAAACCCAAGAAACCCAAAAUACCCAAAAAAAAAAAAAAAAGCUUCAGGAAAAGAUUAUCCUAACUAUUGCCUUCCUAUCUGUCAGUCAUUAUGGUAGGUGAUUUGCCCCAAGGGACUGAAAUUACACACCUUUGGUGUGUUACUGGACACACAAACCUUGCUCGGCAUUCUGAGGUUUGGCAUUUGAAAAGCAGUCGCUUCUGCUGCCCGUGCUGUUUUGGGCUCUAGGAAGGGCACAGUUUUCUUUUCUUUACUGCUUAUUUUUCUAAUUACAAAAGUGGCACAAUAACGCAAUAGAAAACAGAAGGGGAAAUUACUCAUAACCCAGUGCCCUGAGACAAUGUUUAUUCUUAUGAUACACUCCCCAGGCAUCCCCUGGGGUCAUUGUCUUCUGACCUUUUGUUGAGUCCUUGUUUGGGCUGUAGAUGUUGAAAGCUCUGCCUCCCAGCACCGUCUGUCUUUGCUACUGGGACCUGGCCUGUCUGCAGCUCAGACUCUGUGUUUGUUCUGUUCAAAGCUCUGGGAGCUUUCUGACGUCCCAUCAGCCCUGCUAGAGGGCCCCCUGCAAUCAAAGGUGAAUGCAAGUUCCAUUGUUCCAGGCCUUGUUUGUUUCUUGGUACGUUCCACUGUGCUAUUGUUUGCAACUAUCUCUUGUCUGGGGGGGGGGAGGAGGGUAUUACGCAUCCCCGCCCUUUGCCACAUGACUUCCGGGAGUGAUUCCAGUAAGUGGAAUGUACUGGCAGGUUUGGCCAUGUGACUUGCCUCUGUCCAUGGGAUGUGAGUUGACAGGAUUUAUGUCUGAGCAGAAGCCUUCAGCAAAAUCUCUUGAUGGGGCUUGGCCUCUUGCCAUCCUGCCCUUUGGCCGCAGGUCCCUGAUGGUGGCUGCUCCUUCAGCCCGAGCCCCGCAGUGGGGAGACCCGUGGAGCAGAGCUGAGUAGCGAUGCAGUUGAGCUGCAGACGUUGGAGUUGGCUGUUACAACGGAAUACUGACCAAUGCAUCAGUUCUCCAGGUAGGCCCUACCUCUCCUGGGGGCAAACACAGCUCAGUGGAGGCACCUAUCCUGCUUCCAGCUCCAAACUGCUUCCAAACUGAGAUACAGCCUCACCCUGCUUUUACGGACAGGAUCCAAAUACUGACCUGCAUGUCCAUCCUGUUGAUGGACAGCGAUAGAACAUGGCCAUUGAGUGGGAGCCCUGGCUCCUAAAUUCUCCGCCACUCACCUCUGCGUGACCUUGGACAAUUUGCUCUACCAUUUUCCCCUUGUUUCCUCUCAUUUUGGUGAAGAAUGGGACGGACCUCAGAGUUUCGAUGUGAGGAAUGAGUGCAACACAAAGUAGCCGUGAUGUUUAUUGUCACGCCACUCCCACGCAUUGAUGGACUCUCUCCGUCCAGGAUGUUAUGAGGGAAGUUCACAGAAUGACAGGAAGAACUUCUAGAACUGCACCUGGAGGCCCAGUGCUGCUGGAGCUCCUGCUGCCCAGCUCGCAUCCCUUCUGGUUUCUGAUGGACUUAUUCCCUUCUCCUGUACAUGAGCUUUCCCCACGGCCCAAGAGGCAAAGGACCUUCCAUGCUUCCUCCAUGGUCAACAAUCCAGGGAAGAACUCCGAAGGGGCCUCACUUGGUUCACGUUUCUAUCCCUAGAUCACUCUCUGCUCAGGAGGACAUCCCAGACUCCUGUGUCUGGGUCACACACCCUGUGGCCAUCGAUGGAGGCGGGUCUAUUGCCAGAAACACGUGAAAGGGGGGCUCAGGACAGUCGCGCAAUACCCAAAGUCACCCCAAAGACCAGUGUGUGAUUACUAGGACUUAAUGUGACUUGUGCUAGUUGGUGGCAGCAUGGAAAACACAUGGUCUUGGAAGGCGGAUGUGACCCUGAAGAAGCUUCUUCAUCUUCACGAACCUUAAUUUGCUCAUAUAAAAAUGGAGAUGAUAGUUUCUCCCUCCCAGGUUUGUUGCGAUGAGAUGAGGUCACAUACGAAAACAUCUGGAACACAUGCCUAACGAGCGCUAGUUGUGAUUGCCCAAGUUCUGUUGGACUUGAAGCUGGGCUUGCCUGGCCAUACUGUGUCCCCUCGUCCCGCCUUGCCCCGACGUCCACGUUUCUUGCUUUGCAAUGAGGAAUGCAGUCCUCACGGGGACCCAAGGGUCCCCAUCAGCAGCUCACCCUCUUCUCUUCCUGGUGGCCAGCCACGUAGGAAACUGGAUUAUUGGGAUUAGCGUCCUGAUAGUGAGACUGGGAUGUGCAAAAGGAUUUGGGUGGUUUUAAGAAGGGGUUUCUCAGCCAGGAUGCCUGAAGCACUUUCACGUGCCACGUUAGCAAUUCUUAACCUGCUUGGUAUAAUGAACGAAGGUGGCAUAGACAUUCUCCUUGGAAAGACGCACAAUGGCACGCACACAAUUUCAGGAGGUUCACAAAACUCUAGGAAGCCAGAUGUGGGGCCCCGGGUUCAGAGCCCCCGCACUAGGUGGGUCACCUUGCCGGGUGAUACCUGUGUACACUUAGCCUGGAUGGUGUUUCCAUGGACACUGCUCACUCUCCUUUCACAACCCUCCUUUGUCCAGGCACCUGUGUGUGACCAGCCUUCCUUCUGAUGGACACGUUCUACAGCAGGUAACCUAGAGCAGGCGUCCUCAAACUAUGGCCCGAGGGCCACAUGACACCCUCCUAGGACAUUUAUCCGACCUGCCGGGUGUUUUUGUCGCCGCUGCCUGUCCUGCUUAGCAGCCGACUCAUCCCGGGCCCAUAGUGCGUACUCUCCGAUGGUCUGAGGGACCAGUGAACUGACCCCCUGUAUAAAAAGUUUGAGGACCCCUGACCUAGAGCCUUGCAGUGACAUACACCCUCAAUGAGGCUUUGUUGACUUAAGUUGCAGUCAAGUCCUGCCUGCCACAGGGCCAUUCUGCCUCUUCCGGUUGACCCCUUGCUUCUAUUUUGCUGCAUAAUGUGGAUUUUUAAGGUUUUUCUCUUCCAAGUCCACUUGGCCAGUGGGUCAUGGGCCCACUCUUGGCUUGAGGAGAGCAAGAGACUGUCAUUUUCAGCCACCCUGAGAUGGCACAGUGGGGGCAAGGCAUUUCCCCACAAGAAAUCAAGCUAUUAACCCUAUAGAGAGGGAAUGUGUGACAAGGAACAGCGAAAUGACAAGAGGCCACUUGUUACCCUACUGUUUAUUUCCGCUUCAGCUGUCCCUGCUGUGAGUGCACCAGCCUAUAUGGCUGCCAAGAGGCUGAUGAGUGACUUCCCCUAACGCUCUGGCACCUUCCGUCUCCAUUGCAGCGAUUGCUUUUUAAGUGCUUGCUAUUUUUAUUUACACCAGUAACCCACAAGGUGGUUCUUCAGGUGGGCAUGGGUCAAACUACUUCGCAGGCAAUAUUUCAGAGAGGAGGCCUUCCCCAGGCAUGGCCCCCUGGCGUCAGGAACUGCGGUGACAUAAAUCACUCAUGGCCAGAGCUCACUCAUGUUCACAGAUCCGCCGUGACCGCGGAGCAGAGUCGGACACGUGUGUUUUAUUUAUAAUCCUCCCCCUGACCUUGAGACGUAGCUGGCAUUUUUCUCCAUCUUAAAAAUGAGAAAACCGGGGCCCUGAGGCGUCUUGAGUGAGUUGCCGGAGGAGGACGAGGGGGUGGAAAGUGGCAGAGGCCAGGAGGAGAUGGCUCAGAUGUAGAAGCUGGAAGAGAAACCUGAAAAAGAACAGCAGAGCAAGGAAAAGCAGAUGACAGAUCUUUUCAUCAAUGCCAUGGUGCUGUUCCAUUCUUCACUUUCUAUGUUGCUCUUACAUCAAAUCGUGUCUCUUCAGAUCAACACAGAUUUCCUGGAAAAUAAAAUUUUCAUUUAAAAAAAGCCUCUUGAGGUGAACACUACCAUUUUCAGCUGUGGCAAGGAACAGGAAGAGCAAUUGAUGGCUGCCUCCAUAGCUGACUCACCAGUCAACAUUCAGAAAUUGUCAGACAAGCAAUUUCAUCAUGCCAUUGUCCGAUACUUUCUUCACACAGCACAGCUCCUGAGCAAGAGAGACGCGAGAGAAUGUCGCCUCGUGGCAGGCGCCAUACUAGUUCCGGUGCACACCGGAAGUGACAUCAGAGUGCGCACCGCCGGCCGGAAGCUUACUGUCUGCGGAGUCUGUGGGGAAUGGGACAAAGAGCAGACACGUCAACAAAUGACAGGACCCAAGGUCUUCACAGAAUGCCGUGGGGCACAUGGAGGUUCAGAGCGGCAUUAUUCGUGACAGCCAAAAAGCGGAAACAACCCAUAUGUCCAUCAACUGGAAUGACACCUCAAUCAAGCUGUUCACAAAAUGUCACGGGAGCAAAGAAAACAGAUGAAUCAUUGCCAAUGUUAUGAGGAUGGAAAUGAGCGUUCACGGAACACGACAUCCUCGGGGAAGCCUUCAGGUGAGCGCCCUCACCUCUGUCUUCAGAGAAGGGAACUUGUUUCUGGUCACAGAGCAGAGCCCGGACAUGUCCCCAGGCUGUGGGACUCCAGCCAAGACUGUGUCUUACUUACCACACUUCCUCACAGAGGAGGUGACGUGUGUGCACCUCCUCAAAGUAUCGGUGGUAGUUCACGAGGCAGAGAUGGCCAGAGAGGAGCAUUCAGGUUGGGAGAGGCACAUGCUCAGGGUCCCCGUGGGAAGGACAUGGCUCAUGUCAUCUGGAUAAUUCAAGGGGAGAUCAACAGAAUGCCUACUUGCAAAGGGGUGGGCAGAGUUCAAGGGAACCAAACCGGGGAUGAUGACAAUCUGGAACAUGAUCUUCCUGGGCCUGAAGGGGCAAGGGAGGAAGCCACUGUGGGUACAUGGAGAGGAUGGUUGGGUACGUAGGGCUGUCCUCCAUGCAGGGACAAGAAGAAAUGACCUGGAGGGAGAGGCCCAGAUGGUAACUGCCCUGAUCCAUCCUCCUCCUGCCCUCAGAUCUCUGCAGGGGGCUGUCACUGGCUGUACCCACAGGACACCAGGGGGCAAGGGAGGCCGGGUGUAACCCACACAGGUCAGCCUCCUGCGGCUGAGGCAGGCGUGGAAGGGAGACCUAGAUGGCGGAAGGAAAGUGCAGGAGUGCAGGAGUAAAGAUAAUGGCAUGUUCUGGGGGUGGCAAAGGGCACGAUGAGUCAUCACACUGUCGUAACAGCCUGUCCUGUUCUCAUUCUUCCCAACUCCUUGCCCUGAGGCCACGUUAUAUGUCCAGCCAAUGUGAGAGGCAUCCUUAGGAAGCUUUUCCAGCAGGAUACCAAUCCCUUCCUUCUUUUCUCAAGGCGACUGAGCCUCUCACUGUCCUAAUCCUCGUGAGGCCCAUGUGGCCCUCGUCACAGGUGUCAGAUGAGCCAGGCUUCCUGAGUGAGGCUGAGAAGCUCAAGGCUGUCUUCGGGGAACUGAUGCUCAUAUCCUGAGAGUAAAUGAGCUCCACAGUGCCGAGGGGAAGGGCUAAAAAUUCCUUUUCCUAGAACCAGGUGUGGAGGCUCACACCUGUAGUCCCAGUUACUUGAGAGGCUGAGGCUGAGGCUCAGGUGGGAGGAUCGCU